UACGUAUGGGGCGAGCGUUAUUCGGAUUCAUUGGGCGUAAAGCGCGUGCAGGUGGUCCAUUAAGUUGGUAGUGAAAUCUCCAGGCUCAACCUGGAAAUUGCUACCAAUACUGUUGGACUAGAGUUCAGAAGAGGAGAAUGGAAUUCCAGGUGUAGGGGUGAAAUCUGUAGAUAUCUGGAAGAACACCAGUGGCGAAGGCGAUUCUCUGGUCUGAAACUGACACUCAAGCGCGAAAGCUAGGGGAGCAAACGGG
rnacentral:rRNA from 1 species